UACAGAGGGUGCAAGCGUUGCUCGGAUUUACUGGGCGUAAAGCGUACGCAGACGGUGAGGCAAGUCGGGUGUGAAAGCCCCGGGCUCAACCCGGGAACUGCAUUCGAUACUACUUCGCUCGAGUAUGAGAGAGGAAAGCGGAAUUCCUGGUGUAGAGGUGAAAUUCGUAGAUAUCAGGAGGAACACCGGCGGCGAAGGCGGCUUUCUGGCUCAUUACUGACGUUCAGGUACGAAAGCGUGGGUAGCAAACAGG
rnacentral:rRNA from 1 species